CUCCGUCAUCCUGUUUUAUUCACAGCAGGUUUUAAGGAUUCAACAUAUUUUGGAGACACACACACACACUGCCCAGCUCACCCAAACUCAUUCACACUCCCUCUCUCUCUCACACACUCACACAGUGGUAGGUAGGCACACUGUAGAGCUCAGAUGUGUCGUCUGACAGUCGAUCAACAGUAGGCACUUCUGAAGCAGACAGUGAUGAUCAUUCAUGGUUUUGUUCAGCUGCGUCACGUCACACCUCCACUCACUUUACUCACUUCAACCUGCGUCUCUGGCCGCGGUCAUUUGAUUUAUCCGUUAUGUCGGGAUACUAAUUAGGGAUGAUUUAGCACUUUUCCAUAACAACAUCUGAAAAAACAAGCAGCUAUUCUCUGGUUAAAAUCUCUGUAAUAUAAAAACACAAACCAGGAGAGCAGCUGUCUGGUGGAAGUCAGAUGUUGGAACAGAACCACCUCCAGCCUGUAGUGCUCACACUGGAGCAGAGACGGACGUGAACGCAUCUGUUUUUUUCUUUUUGUCUGGUCGGAGCUCAGAGCGGCUGAACUUCAGGUCGGAAGAGAAAAUCUAAUGUUUGAAGAAACCUGCAGUGUGGAGAACAGGAGGAGAGCUGUGAACGAGUCCCAAUCAGUAGAGAAAGAGGAAGGGAUGCAGGUUAACUCUCUGAACUCCAAACAGUUUAACGGUGUCAAUAUAAAGUCCUGCACCUCAGUGGAAACAGCACAACACUGUAGAAGGAAAGUGGAUUCAAAAACUUAAUUUUGUGCAAAUUUAUAAAGUUAGAAUGCCAAUCACAAGCUCAUAAGUGUUAGAAUACUGUCUAAUCUGAAGACAACUGAACUGCAACACUCCGUUUUAUCCGUGUCUGUCUUUGAAAAGCCUGUUUUAAAACCAAUUUGACCAGUUUGGAUGUUUGAUCCUUGCAGCUUUUUCUUCACAUGUCCUGGGAUUAUUCCAUUUAGACAUUAAUGAAGUAAAAAUAAAUCAGAUUUUCUGUUCUGUUCUGUUGUUUCAGCCUCGGACGAAACUAAAAGCUCAUGCACAUGAAAUCAA
ensembl:lncRNA